rnacentral:rRNA from 1 species
AACGAACGCUGGCGGCAUGCCUAAUACAUGCAAGUCGAACGGGCUUUAGGGGCUUGCUCUUAAAGCUAGUGGCGGACGGGUGAGUAACGCGUGGGAACCUGCCUGGCAGUGGGGAAUAACCGCGGGAAACUGCGGCUAAUACCGCAUACGCCCGGAGCAAUCCGGGGAAAGAUUUAUCGCUGUCGGAGGGGCCCGCGUCGGAUUAGCUAGUUGGCGGGGUAACGGCCCACCAAGGCGACGAUCCGUAGCUGGUCUGAGAGGAUGAUCAGC